CCCUUGAGUGAGGAAUAACUCCGGGAAACCGGAGCUAAUACCACAUGAAGUCCAUCAUCGCAUGAUGUGUGGAUUAAAGCCUUCGGGCGCUCAGGGAUGGGCCUGCGUUGGAUUAGCUUGUUGGUGAGGUAACGGCUCACCAAGGCUGCGAUCCAUAGCUGGUCUGAGAGGAUGAUCAGCCACACUGGCACUGAGACACGGGCCAU
rnacentral:rRNA from 1 species